UCCGAGAUGAUAAGCAAUUCUUUAUAGAUCAUCCCGGUGCAACACCCAUUACCACUGCUCAGGGGGAGGAACUGAGAAAGCUAAUUGGGGCUCCUGUUUACAUUGAAUGUAGUUCUAAAACUCAGCAGAAUGUGAAAGCUGUCUUUGAUGCAGCCAUUAAAGUAGUUCUCCAGCCACCAAAACAGAAGAAGAAAAAGAGAAGAAAGGCUCAAAAGGCCUGCUCCAUAUUGUGAUUGAGAAAAGCUGUGGCGGAAAACAUAACCAAUUAGGCAUUGAUCCCAUUAGUUUUUCACCAUCACCAUCUCUCUUACGUUUUCUCACCUUGUGGAAGCAACAGGAUUUCGUCUUUGCAUCUACUAACAGAACUAGGAAGCGCAUUAUAAUCAUCAAGUUGGGAAUUUGUCACUAUUUGGGUUGCAUUUGGAUAUGUAUAUGAAUGAUUGGGUUUGUUGACAUGAACACCCCUAUUUCUUUAGGUCAUUCUGCAUGUAUUGACUAAAUUCAGGAUGAGUUCUCUGAAAUAUUAAUCUGUUUCCUCUUGUAUUAUGUAUGAUAUGUAACUUAGUGCGCCUGAAAAAUCUUAAUAUAAUUAUGGUUUUUUGUUAGAUUAAAAAAAAAA
rnacentral:misc_RNA from 1 species